AUGGAAGCUGCCAUAUCUGUAGUCACUGCUGAACUAGUGAGCCGUUUCAUCUCCUUCCUGAAGAACAAGUACCAAUCCUCCUUGAACCAUGCCGAAUCCGAGGAGAAGGUGAGGGAGAGAUUGCAGCACCUCCUGAUGAGAGUCAGCAUCGUCAUGGAGGAGGCGGAUGGGCGGUACAUAACCAACUCUGGGAUGUUAUUGCAACUCAAGAUGCUCUCAGAGGCCAUGUACAAAGGAUACCGCGUGCUGGACACCUUGAGGUACAAAUCCUUUCAAGACAGUGUAGGCUUUGACAAGGUUAGCGUCAACGACUCAUCUAGUAGCAGCUUGUAUUUAGCUAUUCCUUUCAAGCGUUCUCGAACAUAUAGAGAAAAUGAUGACAAGGCCAUGCGCCUCGAGUCAGAUGGUGCCUUGGAAAGCUUAGAAAUUGUUGUUGCUCACAUGGCAGAAUUUGUUGUGCUUCUGACUGGAUGUGAGCGCAUGUCUCGUAGGCUAUACGAUGUUUAUCUUUACACCACCAACUUCAUGUUCGGCCGACACGCCGAAAAGCAAAAGCUCUUGACCUUCUUGUUGGAGCACAACAACCCUCCUGGUGAUCAUGCACUAGCAGUUCUUCCAGUCAUAGGUGGUGUUGGAGUUGGGAAGAAAACAUUGGUUGCUCAUGUGUGUGGCAACGAGAGGGUUCGCUCACGCUUCUCCUCUAUUUUGCACUUGAAUGGAAACAACCUCAUGACGAUACUUGACCACGGAAGGAGCAUGUUUGGGAUGAUGUUGGUAGUUAUUGAGUUUGCUUCUGAUGUGGAUGACGAUGAAUGGAAAAGGUUUCACUCCUUUCUCAUAAGAGUCAGCAGAGGAAGCAGAAUCAUCAUCAUAAGUAAACUUACAAGAUUAGCCCGGUUUGGAUCAGUGCAACCUAUUUUUCUAAGUGUUUUGUCUUAUGAUGAGUUGAGAUAUCUUUUCAAGACACUGGCAUUCAGGAACAUAGAUCCCACAGAAUAUCCACAACUAGUAAAAAUAGCAGAUGGGUUUGCCAAGGAGUUGCACACUAUGCAAGGCGCACUUGUCGCAACAAAUAUGUACGCAGAUGUCUUGAGAAGGAACCUCGAUGUUCUGUUCUGGCGUUGCAUAUUGGACAGGGGAAUAAGAUAUGUUAAAAGAAACAUCUCCAUAUAUGGCGUGCACCCAAGCACGCUUCUAGAACAAGGCCACCCAGUGGACAUAACGGACUUUGCUUUGCACCCACUUAGCAUGAGACGUUAUACAAUUAAUGCUUCAAUCAAGGAGGAAUCACCAAGUGUGACAUUGGGGGAACUUCUAGCUGAUCCUAGCAUUAGGCCCAAAAAAGAUUUCAUUCUAAUUUCAUGGGAAUCAAGGAUACCCCCUCGCAACACAUUUGCCCGCUUUGUUACAAGUCAUGCUGAGGACACAAGUGAAGGUAGUGCUUUACAUCCCGGGAGGAAACGACGAGGAGUGCCCAUCUAA
rnacentral:rRNA from 1 species